rnacentral:pre_miRNA from 1 species
AGCUGACGUUCUGUGUACAAUUGUGAAUCGAAUUUAUUGUGCGUGGAACAGCAGCUAA